UGAUUGGUGGCUAAUGGCCAGGUUGGACUUUGGGUCCGUACUCCAGAUCCAGGUUUCAGGGUUUGGCUGCUUUAAACGGUACCGUUUUAUUCAAAAAGGCCAAAAAUUAGGGGGAGAGAGGCACGUAAUGAAAAAUUGAAGACACGUAGCCAUGGUGAACGCGUUACAGAGCAAGCAUUUGUUAGUAGGUACGUGGAGACGGCAACAGUUGCAAGUUCCCAUCAAAGGUAAUCAGCAAGCAAAACACAGAGUAGCAAGUGAAAAUGGAGGGUAGAUUAGCAGUUGGGUAGUGGUGGAGGACUCAAAACGUUGGAGAUAAAGUGAAGAAGAGGGAUGACUUGAUGAGAAGACUCAUCGCCACAAAAGCUUCCAACAGAGCUUCAGUGCAUGGAACCAAGCGACCUGUCGCUGAAACCAUUGACAAGGAGGAAGCGGAGAAGAAGAUCAAAAAGGCAAAGAGGAAAAAGAAAAGAAGAUUAAAGAGAUAGAGAAGACUUUGGAUUCCCAUUUCAAAAAGCACUCUGAAAAAGAAGAUCAUAAAUCUUAAUUAUUCUACUGUUAAUUAUUAUAUUUGCUAAUUAAACUACCUGCUUAAAUCA